AAAGGAAUAGACGGGGGCCCGCACAAGCGGUGGAGCAUGUGGCUCAAUUCGAGGCAACGCGAAGAACCUUACCUGGACUUGACAUGUACCUGAUCGUCCGCUGAAAGGCGGAUUUUCCUUCGGGACGGGUACACAGGUGCUGCAUGGCUGUCGUCAGCUCGUGUCGUGAGAUGUUCGGUUAAGUCCGGCAACGAGCGCAACCCGUGUCGUCAGUUGCGACCAGGCAAGCUGAGCACUCUGGCGAGACUGCCCGUGUCAAGCGGGAGGAAGGCGCGGAUGACGUCAAGUCAGUAUGGCCCUUACGUCCAGGGCUGCACACGUGCUACAAUGGGCGGUACAGUGGGACGCGAUACCGCGAGGUGGAGCAAAUCCUGAAAACCGCCCCCAGUUCAGAUUGAAGUCUGCAACUCGACUUCAUGAAGCCGGAAUCGCUAGUAAAGGCGUAUCAGCAACGACGCCUUGAAUACGUUCCCGGGCCUUGUACACACCGCCCGU
rnacentral:rRNA from 1 species